AACGCUGGCGGCGUGCCUAAUACAUGCAAGUCGAACGAACGGAGGAAGAGCUUGCUCUUCCAAAGUUAGUGGCGGACGGGUGAGUAACACGUGGGCAACCUGCCUGUAAGUUGGGGAUAACUCCGGGAAACCGGGGCUAAUACCGAAUGAUAAAGUGUGGCGCAUGCCACGCUUUUGAAAGAUGGUUUCGGCUAUCGCUUACAGAUGGGCCCGCGGUGCAUUAGCUAGUUGGUAGGGUAAUGGCCUACCAAGGCAACGAUGCAUAGCCGACCUGAGAGGGUGAUCGGCCACACUGGGACUGAGACACGGCCCAGACUCCUACGGGAGGCAGCAGUAGGGAAUCUUCCGCAAUGGACGAAAGUCUGACGGAGCAACGCCGCGUGUAUGAAGAAGGUUUUCGGAUCGUAAAGUACUGUUGUUAGAGAAGAACAAGGAUAAGAGUAACUGCUUGUCCCUUGACGGUAUCUAACCAGAAAGCCACGGCUAAC
rnacentral:rRNA from 1 species